AGAGUUUGAUCCUGGCUCAGGAUGAACGCUAGCGGCAGGCUUAACACAUGCAAGUCGAGGGGCAGCGCGGGAUAGCAAUAUCCUGGCGGCGACCGGCGGAAGGGUGCGUAACGCGUGAGCGACAUGCCCGUUGCCCGGGGACAACCGGUGGAAACGCCGACUAAUCCCCGAUGGGAUACGAUGCUUCAUGGCAUUGUAUUGAAAGUUACGGCGGCGACGGAUUGGCUCGCGUCCGAUUAGCUGGUUGGCGGGGUAACGGCCCACCAAGGCUACGAUCGGUAGGGGUUCUGAGAGGAAGGCCCCCCACAAUGGGACUGAGACACGGCCCAGACUCCUACGGGAGGCAGCAGUGAGGAAUAUUGGUCAAUGGGCGGAAGCCUGAACCAGCCAUGCCGCGUGCGGGAAGGAGGCCCUAUGGGCUGUGAACCGCUUUUGCCUGGGGGCAAUAAGGGCGUCGCGCACGUCCGAUGAGAGUACCAGGCGAAUAAGCAUCGGCUAACUCCGUGCCAGCAGCCGCGGUAAUACGGGGGAUGCGAGCGUUAUCCGGAUUCAUUGGGUUUAAAGGGUGCGUAGGCUGUGCGUCAAGUCGGGGGUGAAAUUCCGGUGCUCAACACCGGGGCUGCCCUUGAUACUGUCGCGCUGGAGUGCGGAUGCCGCCGGAGGAAUGAGUGGUGUAGCGGUGAAAUGCUUAGAUAUCACUCAGAACACCGAUUGCGAAGGCAUCUGGCGAAUCCGUAACUGACGCUGAGGCACGAAAGCGUGGGGAUAGAACAGGAUUAGAUACCCUGGUAUUCCACGCCGUAAACGAUGAUGGCUAACCGCCGGCGACACACUGUCGGUGGCCAAGCGAAAGCGAUAAGCCAUCCACCUGGGGAGUACGUCGGCAACGAUGAAACUCAAAGGAAUUGACGGGGGCCCGCACAAGCGGAGGAACAUGUG
rnacentral:rRNA from 1 species